CGGCUGGAUUAUUUUUAUCACCCUUGUCUUUUGCGCACUUGUUGUUUCCUGGGCGGGUUCGCCCGCCACCAGGACCACACCAUAAACCUUUUUUUAUGCAGUUGCAAUCAGCGUCAGUAUAACAAAUGUAAAUCAUUUACAACUUUCAACAACGGAUCUCUUGGUUCUGGCAUCGAUGAAGAACGCAGCGAAAUGCGAUACGUAGUGUGAAUUGCAGAAUUCAGUGAAUCAUCGAAUCUUUGAACGCACAUUGCGCCCUUUGGUAUUCCAAAGGGCAUGCCUGUUCGAGCGUCAUUUGUACCCUCAAGCUUUGCUUGGUGUUGGGCGUCUUUUGUCUUUGGCCUCGCCCAAAGACUCGCCUUAAAACGAUUGGCAGCCGGCCUACUGGUUUCGCAGCGCAGCACAUUUUUGCGCUUGCAAUCAGCAAAAAGGACGGCAAUCCAUCAAGACUACAUUUUUACGUUUGACCUCGGAUCAGGUAGGGAUACCCGCUGAACUUAAGCAUAUCAAUAAGCCGGA
rnacentral:rRNA from 1 species